CUAAGCAAAACAAACUUAUAAUCUUUCUUUUUUUUAAAAGAGCAACAUAGCUGGAGCUAGACUUUUGACAGAACAGAAUCUUGCCUCCCAGUGAAACAAGUUCAGGGGCAAAGGUCAGAGGGCGUCGUCCUGGCAAUCCAGUAUCCCAGAGUUCUGUGCUGCUGUGCCCCUGUGCAGGACCUGCGAGAGAAGCUGGUGAUCAGCCUGGAGAGGGAGGUCAGGCUACUGCGCAGUGAAAAUGUGCUGCUGAGACAAGAACUGCAGUUUCUUGAGGGGGAGAGGAAUCCUGGAGUGGGCAGACAGGGUGCUGGGAGGAGCAGUAGUGAGCCGGGGAUGGUGGGGGUAGCAGAGGCCAAGAGAGAAAGCCAUGGGCCUGAUCACAGUCUGCCCAACCUGUUGAGGCAGAUCAUAGAGGAAAACAAGAAGCUACAGUGAGUCCCGCCCUAGCAUUUACUCAAGACUGAUCUUAAUUAUGUAACAUUCUUUUCUUGUCGCUGUUGGUGUUAUUAUACUCUAAGAUUGCUUAUUGGAUAUUCCAUUACCUGGUGAUGCUAAUAAUAAUGUAAUUUAAUCAGUUGAGAACAAAUUAUUAUUUUCAAUGACAAUUUGGAGAUUACCCACUUAUACAGCUGGACAUCUUAUUAGAGAAAAAUGAAUGAAGUACCUGCCUCAUGGGUGCAAUGCUCUGUCUAGUAUUUGAGCUCUAAACCUUCCAGUUU
rnacentral:lncRNA from 1 species